rnacentral:rRNA from 1 species
AACGAACGCUGGCGGCAUGCCUAACACAUGCAAGUCGAACGAGACCUUCGUGUCUAGUGGCGCACGGGUGCGUAACGCGUGGGAAUCUGCCCUUGGGUUCGGAAUAACAGUGAGAAAUUACUGCUAAUACCGGAUGAUGACUUCGGUCCAAAGAUUUAUCGCCCAAGGAUGAGCCCGCGUAGGAUUAGGUAGUUGGUGGGGUAAUGGCCUACCAAGCCGACGAUCCUUAGCUGGUCUGAGAGGAUGAUCAGCCACACUGGGACUGAGACACGGCCCAGACUCCUACGGGAGGCAGCAGUGGGGAAUAUUGGACAAUGGGCGAAAGCCUGAUCCAGCAAUGCCGCGUGAGUGAUGAAGGCCUUAGGGUUGUAAAGCUCUUUUACCAGGGAUGAUAAUGACAGUACCUGGAGAAUAAGCUCCGGCUAACUCCGUGCCAGCCGCCGCGGUAAAAC